rnacentral:rRNA from 1 species
UACGAAGGGGGCUAGCGUUGUUCGGAAUUACUGGGCGUAAAGCGCACGUAGGCGGAUAUUUAAGUCAGGGGUGAAAUCCCGGGGCUCAACCCCGGAACUGCCUUUGAUACUGGGUAUCUAGAGUCCGGAAGAGGUGAGUGGAAUUCCGAGUGUAGAGGUGAAAUUCGUAGAUAUUAGGAAGAACACCGGUGGCGAAGGCGGCCAUCUGGCUCGGUACUGACGCUCAGGUUCGAAAGCGUGGGGAGCAAACAGG